AUGAAGCCGCAAACCAAAAGACCUAGAUGACAAGGAUGAGAUCAAGAAUGCACAGUGGUGUGAUUGGAUGAGGCAGGAUCUUAACAGCCUUCCUGGAAUGAGGGAUCCACCAUAUCAGAGAAUCACAGAGCUGUGGACCAGAACCAGAGGAUGGCAGAGGCCCUGGCUACUUUCUAUCCCUAUGGAUUUGCCCAUUGUGAACAUUUCAGGUAGAUGGAAUCAUGCAAUCUGUAGCCCUUUGUGUCCAACCUCUUUCACUUAGAAUAAUGUUUUCAAGGCUCAAGCAUGUUGUAGCAUGUAUUAGUACUUCAUUCCUUUUAAUGGCUGAACGGCCUUUCAUUGUAUGGAUAGACCACAUUUUUGUUCACUCAUUCAAUUGGCGG
rnacentral:lncRNA from 1 species